GACGAACGCUGGCGGCGUGCCUAAUACAUGCAAGUAGAACGCUGAAGAGAGAAGCUUGCUCUUCUUGGAUGAGUUGCGAACGGGUGAGUAACGCGUAGGUAACCUGCCACGUAGCGGGGGAUAACUAUUGGAAACGAUAGAUAAUACCGCAUAACAAUGGCUGACACAUGUCAUUUAUUUGAAAGGGGCAAUUGCUCCACUACAAGAUGGACCUGCGUUGUAUUAGCUAGUAGGUGAGGUAAUGGCUCACCUAGGCGACGAUACAUAGCCGACCUGAGAGGGUGAUCGGCCACACUGGGACUGAGACACGGCCCAGGCUCCUUCGGGAGGCAGCAGUAGGGAAUCUUCGGCAAUGGGGGCAACCCUGACCGCGCAACGCCGCGUGAGUGAAGAAGGUUUUCGGAUCGUAAAGCUCUGUUGUAAGUCAAGAACGGGUGUGAGGGUGGAAAGUUCACACUGUGACGGUAGCUUACCAGAAAGGGACGGCUAACUACGUG
rnacentral:rRNA from 1 species